CGGACGUGAGGCUUGGACUGACGGACCAGGAGGCUGGGUGACCAGCCGCAGUGGCUGACAUCUGGGACAUCGACAAGUGCAAGUGUACAUGGGAGUGACCGUGUUGACCAAAUCAAGACGGCGGACGCGAGUCGAGCGAGGCCUAGGAGGACUUGGCGGGCCGGCCGGUCGAGGACGGCGGUGACACGUGUCGAGUGGCGGGAAAGCGUAUGGAGUACGCUACUCGCGGCGGGUUUCGCGGGUUUGGGCCUCAAAACCC
rnacentral:lncRNA from 1 species